rnacentral:tRNA from 1 species
GCGGACGUGGUGGAAUUGGUAGACACAAGAGACUUAAAAUCUCUCGCGCUUACGCGUGUGCGGGUUCAAGUCCCGCCGUCCGCACCA